AUGGGAAGUUACACCUCAAGUGAUCUACUGAUUGCCACAGAUUUUCAAAGUUUUCAUGCAUCUGCAAGACUAAGAGGAAGGCCCAGCCAGUGGUUUUGGGUAUAUACGGUACCUGGAGCCCUUUUAAUACAGUUGAUGCAGCUCUUCUCAGCAGGGUAGUGUUUUACGAUCUUGAGGUAUUUUGG